rnacentral:rRNA from 1 species
GGGUUGUGAGGUUAAGCGACUAAGCGUACACGGUGGAUGCCCUGGCAGUCAGAGGCGAUGAAGGACGUGCUAAUCUGCGAUAAGCGCCGGUAAGGUGAUAUGAACCGUUAUAACCGGCGAUUUCCGAAUGGGGAAACCCAGUGUGAUUCGUCACACUAUCAUUAACUGAAUCCAUAGGUUAAUGAGGCGAACCGGGGGAACUGAAACAUCUAAGUACCCCGAGGAAAAGAAAUCAACCGAGAUUCCCCCAGUAGCGGCGAGCGAACGGGGAGGAGCCCAGAGCCUGAAUCAGCAUGUGUGUUAGUGGAAGCGUCUGGAAAGGUGCGCGAUACAGGGUGACAGCCCCGUACACAAAAGCGCAUGUGCUGUGAGCUCGAUGAGUAGGGCGGGACACGUGGUAUCCUGUCUGAAUAUGGGGGGACCAUCCUCCAAGGCUAAAUACUCCUGACUGACCGAUAGUGAACCAGUACCGUGAGGGAAAGGCGAAAAGAACCCCGGCGAGGGGAGUGAAAAAGAACCUGAAACCGUGUACGUACAAGCAGUGGGAGCACAGGUUUACCUGUGUGACUGCGUACCUUUUGUAUAAUGGGUCAGCGACUUAUAUUCUGUAGCAAGGUUAACCGUAUAGGGGAGCCGUAGGGAAACCGAGUCUUAACCGGGCGUUAAGUUGCAGGGUAUAGACCCGAAACCCGGUGAUCUAGCCAUGGGCAGGUUGAAGGUUGGGUAACACUAACUGGAGGACCGAACCGACUAAUGUUGAAAAAUUAGCGGAUGACCUGUGGCUGGGGGUGAAAGGCCAAUCAAACCGGGAGAUAGCUGGUUCUCCCCGAAAGCUAUUUAGGUAGCGCCUCGUGAAUUCAUCUCCGGGGGUAGAGCACUGUUUCGGCUAGGGGGCCAUCCCGGCUUACCAACCCGAUGCAAACUGCGAAUACCGGAGAAUGUUAUCACGGGAGACACACGGCGGGUGCUAACGUCCGUCGUGAAGAGGGAAACAACCCAGACCGCCAGCUAAGGUCCCAAAGUCAUGGUUAAGUGGGAAACGAUGUGGGAAGGCCCAGACAGCCAGGAUGUUGGCUUAGAAGCAGCCAUCAUUUAAAGAAAGCGUAAUAGCUCACUGGUCGAGUCGGCCUGCGCGGAAGAUGUAACGGGGCUAAACCAUGCACCGAAGCUGCGGCAGCGAACGUAUCACCCAAGACAACUUUACGGAGUUGACGAUUGACGGAGCGAAGCGACGUCAAAGCGUUCAUUAAAGUCGAGUUGGCUUAGGGAUACGUUCGUUGGGUAGGGGAGCGUUCUGUAAGCCUGUGAAGGUGUGUCGUGAGGCAUGCUGGAGGUAUCAGAAGUGCGAAUGCUGACAUAAGUAACGAUAAAGCGGGUGAAAAGCCCGCUCGCCGGAAGACCAAGGGUUCCUGUCCAACGUUAAUCGGGGCAGGGUGAGUCGACCCCUAAGGCGAGGCCGAAAGGCGUAGUCGAUGGGAAACGGGUUAAUAUUCCCGUACUUGGUGUUACUGCGAAGGGGGGACGGAGAAGGCUAUGUUGGCCGGGCGACGGUUGUCCCGGUUUAAGCGUGUAGGUGUGUGUUCCAGGUAAAUCCGGUUCACUUUAACACUGAGGCGUGACGACGAGGCACUACGGUGCUGAAGCAACAAAUGCCCUGCUUCCAGGAAAAGCCUCUAAGCAUCAGGUAACAUCAAAUCGUACCCCAAACCGACACAGGUGGUCAGGUAGAGAAUACCAAGGCGCUUGAGAGAACUCGGGUGAAGGAACUAGGCAAAAUGGUGCCGUAACUUCGGGAGAAGGCACGCUGACACGUAGGUGAAGUGAUUUACUCAUGGAGCUGAAGUCAGUCGAAGAUACCAGCUGGCUGCAACUGUUUAUUAAAAACACAGCACUGUGCAAACACGAAAGUGGACGUAUACGGUGUGACGCCUGCCCGGUGCCGGAAGGUUAAUUGAUGGGGUCAGCGUAAGCGAAGCUCCUGAUCGAAGCCCCGGUAAACGGCGGCCGUAACUAUAACGGUCCUAAGGUAGCGAAAUUCCUUGUCGGGUAAGUUCCGACCUGCACGAAUGGCGUAAUGAUGGCCAGGCUGUCUCCACCCGAGACUCAGUGAAAUUGAACUCGCUGUGAAGAUGCAGUGUACCCGCGGCAAGACGGAAAGACCCCGUGAACCUUUACUAUAGCUUGACACUGAACAUUGAGCCUUGAUGUGUAGGAUAGGUGGGAGGCUUUGAAGUGUGGACGCCAGUCUGCAUGGAGCCGACCUUGAAAUACCACCCUUUAAUGUUUGAUGUUCUAACGUGGACCCGUAAUCCGGGUUGCGGACAGUGUCUGGUGGGUAGUUUGACUGGGGCGGUCUCCUCCUAAAGAGUAACGGAGGAGCACGAAGGUUGGCUAAUCCUGGUCGGACAUCAGGAGGUUAGUGCAAUGGCAUAAGCCAGCUUGACUGCGAGCGUGACGGCGCGAGCAGGUGCGAAAGCAGGUCAUAGUGAUCCGGUGGUUCUGAAUGGAAGGGCCAUCGCUCAACGGAUAAAAGGUACUCCGGGGAUAACAGGCUGAUACCGCCCAAGAGUUCAUAUCGACGGCGGUGUUUGGCACCUCGAUGUCGGCUCAUCACAUCCUGGGGCUGAAGUAGGUCCCAAGGGUAUGGCUGUUCGCCAUUUAAAGUGGUACGCGAGCUGGGUUUAGAACGUCGUGAGACAGUUCGGUCCCUAUCUGCCGUGGGCGCUGGAGAACUGAGGGGGGCUGCUCCUAGUACGAGAGGACCGGAGUGGACGCAUCACUGGUGUUCGGGUUGUCAUGCGAGCGCA